UUAACUUAAACCUGUGCCGGAAGCGCCUGUAAUAAUACUAGUUUCGUUAAUGAUGACUUUUUGAUUUUAUUCAGUGGUUGUUGGUUGUUUUGUAGAUUGAAAAGUUGAAAUUGGUUAUCAAGGAGUUCUUUAAGGAAAAGGAUGAAGAAAAAGAAAGAUUAAAUGGAAUUAUUGUUGGGUUGUUUGUUGUAAAUGAAAAG